GACCAGUGAUGGAUGCAGACAUAGCUCCACUUGCUCCAGCUUUAAGCAUGUGCCUGAAACUGGUUAUAUUGUAAAUAUAAGUAUUUUGCCUGCAUAGUUUGUACUGCUGAUAUUGUUGUGAACCAGUGCAUGAUUAUAAAGUAAGUGCAUCUUAUUUUUGAACUUACUUCUCAGAUUGUUGCCUGAUUUUUUGUUAAGUGGGAUGAGGAGGGGAAGCUGGCCGAUUUCAUAGCUGGACUUGCUCAAACCAAGGUUUUACAGCCUAAUUCCGAUGCUUUCAGUUUUGCUGCCAAGCAUGGGAUUUUAAAACUCUGUUUAACCCACACACAUGGGGGCCUGGAGGAAUAAAUUGCAAUUGCAAUAUAUCCUCUCCUGCCCAUAAAAACCCAUCCCAGCUCUACAAGAUUUUCCAAUGAAACCUGCUCCUCAGAGGUUGCUAAAGAUUUCUUCCUAUGGAGGCAUAGCAACCAGACAAAACACAUAAGUAGUUUCCCCCACAGCUGGCAAAAUUCUGCAACAGCUUGUUGCUGCUGUGCUGGUUGGCACAAAACAUGAGCCAGAGACUGGCUAGAACAAGAGAAAUCCUAGGGCAAACUUUGCUUGCCAAUCCCCACAUAAACAAACAGGUACCUUCCCUACCAUAUUUUUGCCUCAUGUGCAAUAAAGCAGCUUGGAGGUUUUAAAAAGACCAAAUCCUGAUGCGGGAGGCCUCUUUGCUUCAAAUGAACGUACAGUGGUACCUCGGGUUACAGACGCUUCAGGUUACAGACUCCACUAACCCAGAAAUAUUAUCUCAGGUUAAGAACUUUGCUUCAGGAUGAGAACAGAAAUCGUGCAGCAGCGGCACCGGGAGACCGCAUUGGCUAAAGUGGUACCUCAGAAGAGUUUCAGGUUAAGAACGGACCUCCAGAACAAAUUCAGUUCUUAACCCGAGGCACCACUGUAUUUCCAAGUAAUAUCACAGUGUGGGGUCGUAAUACAGGCGAUGACCUACGAAGGCUGUUCCUGCAUUUUACCACAAAUGGGAGGAUUGAUUCUCCAUAUUAAAAACAAUACAACAAAACUCUCCACACCUGGAAAGCUAAGAUGUCAGAGAUAAGAGUUCUAGCUCACGCCCUGAUAUGCAGAAAGGGAUAUUUUCCAUAAGAAACAUCCAACCAUGUGUUACUCUAUAUGCAGUACACUGAAACAGGGUUACCCCAUCAAAUGCUGUUUCAAUGGAGACUGCCCAAUUCUCUCACAUGACAGACCUCCAAAAAUGUCCAUAUUGCUAAAUUCUUCCAGCUGCAAAAUCGUAGCCAAGAAUGACUGGCUACUUGCAAAACACUUCAGGUCAGUACAAAUUCCUUUUUCUACUACUCCUCAACAGACAGAUUAAAAACAAAACAAAAACCCUUCACAAAUUAAUUAAAAGAUGAAUGUAAUAAAAAUGGGGUGGGGAGGAGAAAAAAUGAGCUGAUGUCUCCAUUCUCCAAAAUUUUUUUAGUGGAGAAGCAUUAAUUGCAGCUUUGGGCAAAUUCUUCUUAAAUACCUAAGAGCUUUCAGCAUAUUAUAAAGCACGCUUCAUACUUUAAUGCAAACAUCUUUCUAAUUGCUUUGGUAGAAAUCCAGGGGUUAUUUUCCUUCCAAGUCUUAUAGAAACAAAUAUUGCUUCCAUUUCAUUUGUUACACAAGCCUGUCUUAAUAAACAUGUUUUUCAUCUUCAGUUUGAAAUAAGACAUGAGAGAUUUGAGCUAAAACUUAAGUUGACUGUAAUCUGUAAGCCUGUAAUGGACCUGAAUUACUGGCCAGACCAGAGUUAGCCAACUUGGUGUUGUCCAGAUACACAUCUCCCAUCAAUCCUCGCCAGAAAAUUUCAGAGCCUUUGUUGUAAUAGGUUAUAGAGAUUAUUAUUUGUGUCUCUUCAAUGGACAUGGCUGCCCAUCAGUAACAUGCUUUGUAAAAGCAGUGGCAGGCUGUGUGGUGAGGCAGAGCCGCCCUCUAGACACCAGCUUCUCUGAAUGGAACUGGGCCAGGGUGGUCGUGAAAAGAUGGAGCUAUGCAUUUGUGUUGUCAGGAGCACCACCAGCCAAUCCAUUGCUCCCAGAUGUGCGAUUGUGCAGCCUUGUCUUUUCAACCAGCUCAUCUGCCCCACCACAAGUGCCACUACCAUAGCAAUGGGUAUGCCAGUCUCAGUUCUCAGGUCAACCUCUGCCCAAGAGUAUUUCUAAGAGAAAAAGGUUGAGCAAACCAUAUCAAUGAUCCAACCACGUGAAUUACAAAUACUUGUUUGUGGUUGCAGCAGUUAGUCUAGGGCAGGCUUCCUCAAACUCGGCCCUCCAGAUGUUUUUGGCCUACAACUCCCAUGAUCCCUAGCUAGCAGGACCAGUGGUCAGGGAUGAUGGGAAUUGUAGUCUCAAAACAUCUGGAGGGCCCUGUUUGAGGAUGCCUGGUCUAGGGGGGUGGCUGAUCUUGUUUAUUUCAUUUUUUUCUUUGGUAUAAUUCUGCCUUAGCAGCCAAAAGAUGCUGAAUCAGAAUCAGAAGAUUCUUUACAGUGGUACCUCGGGUUACAGACGCUUCAGGUUACAGACUCCGCUAACCCAGAAAUAGUACCUCAGGUUAAGAACUUUGCUUCAGAAUAAGAACAGAAAUCCCGCUUUAAGAACAGACCUCUGGAACGAAUUAAGUUCUUAACCAGAGGUACCACUGUAUUUGCAUCAGCCACUAGCCAUAAAUAUAAAAUAAAAUAAAAUAAAAUAAAAUGUACUGAAGAUAGAGGUAAAAGCUUAACUAUACAAAAUCCAUUUUGGAGGUUUACAUCAAUAAUCAAAUAAUAGAUCUUAUUCUAAUUGCCCCUGCUAAUUUUUUUAUUUUUGCAGUUUUUGCUGUCACCUGAUCAUCUUGAUCUGCUAAAAGGCUGAGCGACCCAGCAUGGACAAUAAUAGAGGGGUAAUAACCUCACUCCUCAAAUCUUUAUAAAGAGUGCAGCCCAGAAGCACAUGAGCCACUGACUCAACACUGCCAUCUUCACAUGGACAUAACCGUUUUUCCAGUGGAAUUUUUUGAAAUCAACCCUCAAGUACAGCCGAAGGCAGCAUAUUCAAUCUUGUGAAAGUGAAAGCACAUCUGUAUUUUGGAACUGUUAAAUUUUGCAAAUAGGGUGCCAAAGUGAAAAAAUGAAUAGGUGGAAAGUAAUCAUACCAUGGACAAAAUGUCUUUAUUGUGGCCAAAUUAUUCUGUCGCUCGAUAUCAUAUAGG